AUAUUUUCAGGUAGCUUUUCUUAAUAAGGUCAAUGGCUUGCGUACUGUACUUCUAUAGAUCCUUUCUUUCAUAAUGAGCUAUGUGCAUACUCUCUUUCCUCAAGUCAAUAUUUGAUCAGGGAAGCUACUCGGUAUUUUUGUUGAAGUUAGUAUAACAUGUCCCAUAAAUUCAGAAGUUAGUAUAACAUGACAAUGAGGUUGCAUCAUGAGUCUGAAACCAAGCCUCUUCUGUUCACAUAAUGAUCUCCUCACAAAACCAAAAUCAUUUGAUGAUUUAUGUACAAUUUUACUAUACUCAUUCUCCUGUCAGAUUGAGAAUGUGGUUCAUGUAGAAAGGACUACAUGCAGAAAUAAGGAUCAUAGUAAUACUUUUCCAAUGAUUCUCUCGGAGGUCAUGUCUUCAUGUUAUUCAAGGAUUUUGAUAUCCGAAAGUUAUGACAAUAUAGAUAGGGAGAUAGCCUUCCGUGUCGCCGGAGGCCACUGUAGGCUGCACUGAAGGGCACACAGCAGGUAGACGGAUGCGGCGAUCCUGGAUGUGCUUUGCUGCUGUCAUUUUUUAUCAAGGACGCCACUGUCCAAGUCGUUCUUCUGCCUUGGUUAGUGGUGCUUCUCUUCCAUUCCACAUACGAACACCCAUGGAGAAGCACAUUUAUAAAACAUCCAUCUGUGAAUGAAUUUGUCAUAUAUUACCAUCUGCAAUGGACAUGAUAAUGGUAGAACACUUGUGAUCAUGGACAGAUGUUUAAGGUUUUAUUUUCCCGUUGCAACGCACGGGCAUCACACCAAGGAUUUUUUUUAUUUCACUUUACUUGGUAUAUGAACUAAUCCUGAAUGGAAAAUAGUUUGUGCUGCUAUCAUCGAUAGAUUAUAAACAUUGCUAGCUUCUUGUGUGUAGGCUUGUUCUGUGCUAGACUACCAAAAUAUGUUUUGCUUCGAUAAUUUUUAUUUAUGUACUAACAAUGUCCUGGGUCCAUGUUCACAUUGAGCUUAUAGUACAUGUUUUCAUUCUAAGCCAUUAUAUAGUUAUUCGUUUUGGAAAUUGUCUAGCCUGACAUUUUUCAGAAUUUGUACAAGUCUUUUAACAAAUUUUGGUAUCCUUUGGACAGGAAGCUUUAGAAUGCUGGCAGCUGAUGGGGAUUAUAAGAACUUAAAUGCCAGAGAAGUCGUGCUCCCCUUUCCGACGACGACUCAGACUUGAAGUCCCUUAUGUGCUCGAUACAAAGGCCUCCCUUUUUUGUACUUAGAAUGACUGGUGUCUGACACAAACUCACUAUUAUAGUCAAGAGUCAAGACCAUCGUUG
rnacentral:lncRNA from 1 species